GAUGAACGCUAGCGACAGGCCUAACACAUGCAAGUCGAGGGGCAGCACGAAGUAAGCUUGCUUACUUUGGUGGCGACCGGCGCACGGGUGCGUAACAGGUGUGCAAUCUGUCCAUAAUCGGGGAAUAGCCCAGCGAAAGUUGGAUUAAUGCUCCAUGUGAGCCGAGGAGGCAUCUCUUUGGGUUGAAACGCAAGGAUUAUGGGUGAGCACGCUUCUGAUUAGGUAGUUGGUGAGGUAACGGCUCACCAAGCCGACGAUCAGUAGGGGUUCUGAGAGGAAGGUCCCCCACAUUGGAACUGAGACACGGUCCAAACUCCUACGGGAGGCAGCAGUGAGGAAUAUUGGUCAAUGGACGGAAGUCUGAACCAGCCAAGUCGCGUGAAGGAUGAAGGUUCUAUGGAUUGUAAACUUCUUUUGUCUGAGGGUAAAACAGCGGACGUGUCCGUUCUUGCAAGUAUCAGACGAAUAAGCAUCGGCUAACUCCGUGCCAGCCGCCGCGGUAAAAC
rnacentral:rRNA from 1 species